AGCACGAGACAGUGAGCAACGCUUCUCAAGAUCUUCCGGCCAUUCAUAGCCCCCCGGAGACCACACCCAGCGAGCAAGAAGCAGGCAAACAUGCUUGGAACAGCUAGCCGCGAAGGAUUCUCACACAGCCACGGAACCCAUGCACGCAAGCGGACGAGCUAAGGCUAGACCAACGACGCAAGAACCACAGAAAGACAUGAAAGCUAGAGCCUUUUGAAGGACAUGAAAGCUAGAUGUUUUUUUGGAGGA